UUACCUUCCACAUUUGCAGGAGAAAUCUGAUCCAAUGUAUACCAAGCCCCAAGACAAGCAGAUUGAGCUCAAUUAGGUUGGAUGUAAGCUUUGGUUCCUUCGAACAGUAUCAGUAAGUGUAGAUAAUUGGCUGGUGAUCCGCUUUAGCAUCUCUAGUACACUCUGCAGUCGUUAAAUCUAAGAAUUAUGCUAGAGAGUGGUUAGAUAAUACGUAAAAUUGAAGAAUUCAUUGUCCCCUUCUUGACUCGAUUAAAAAAAAUUAAAAACUUUUUAUAAGACUCAUAAAUAAACUCAUAUCAGUAAACCUCCCCCCACACUUAAAUAACAGUGUCACCAGUGUUUAUUCAGUCGAAGUUUGGUGAGAGCAUAAAUCAUAAGUACAAAAUUUAACAAGGAAAAACGAUAUACCAGCUCGCUGAUGUCAAUGUCAAUCGACACAGUGAAGUGCCUAUCGAUCGGUGCUGGUCCGGUACUGUCGAACGAUGUCGACCUGGUCUCACUGGUCGAUGGGCUCGACAAUCGUCUCCUUGGAUCUUUUUUUCCAAACUCAAAGUAAAACAUUAUACUAGUAGAACCUCCCCAUACUUAAACAACAAUGUCCCUGGUCUUAUAUAGUCUAAGCCUGGUGGGAAAAUAAACCAUAAGUACUAAAUUUAACAAGGUUUCGCGAGUAUACAUGCCGUUGAUGUGAGCAUCAAUCAACACAGAGUUAAGUGGUCAUCGAUACAUGUGAUGUUCCGUCGAUCGAUAUUGGUCAGUUGUCGGUCGAUGCAAGUGCAGAACUCAUGAACGUUGGAUCUUUUUUUCUGAUGAACAGUACCUCUGCUACAGUGUCGAUCGAUGCUGCUACAGUGGUAUCGCUCGGGGCAGCUACAGUAUCGUUGCUAGGAGCUCCUACAGUGUCGUCGCUAGGCGCUGCUACAGUGUCGUCGUCACUGUUCAUUUUUUUACCUGCAUAAAAUUUAAAAACGAAAAUCGGUAAAAAUUUAAACUAAGCUUUAAAAAAAUUAUCUAAUAGUGGGUUAUCUCUCACUCAGCGCUUAUUUUCAGUCAUUAGCUUGACUUCUGGAAAUCUGAAUCAGCCCGGAUGAGAGUGAGAACUUGCUCCAAACCAAGUCUUAAUGUCUUAUUUCUGAAGUUUCAUCAUACUUUUUGUGAGUGCUUCCAUAGACUCUUCUCCUUUGUUUAUCAUCUCAUCAAUAAGGAGUGCUCGAAACUUUGCAAAUUGAUGUAAGAAGCAUCUGAUGCGCACUCUAGAUUUCAUGACACCAACUGAGAAGUGAAGAAUCAAUGAUAACUGAGUAUCGCCCUUGAUCAUUUUUCUCUUGUUCUGAUUCAUCAUCUUCUUUCCCCCAAACUUGUCUGAUCGCGUGGUGGUGUCUCCAUCAAAAAUAUUUUGACACACUUCAAACUUUUUCUGCUCUGAUACGCGGCCGAUGGCGAUCGAUGGUAUCUGGUCAGUGUCGAUGGAUGCUGCUUUUGCUGGGCCUUUAUCGACUUCACCUCUACAUCUCAAAUCUCUCUAAGAAGCUACUGCAUACAUAUCAUCAGAAAAUACCCCAUUGUAGGAACCACAAACUUCACAUGGUCAUGCAUCCUUUUCACUCUUUUGUUAAUCCCAGUAGCUUCUUCUGUGCAUAUAGGUGAUCUCAGAUGUUCAUGGACAACAAGGUUUAAAGCCUCAUACUUGUGCAUUUUAUCCUCAGUGAAUUCCAUCUCAACUAUGAAACAUGGCGGUUCGUCCAGCAAUGGGCAUUGAUCGAUAUCAGGUGGGUGAUGUCGAUCGGUAUCAGGUUGGUGGUGUCGAUAGAUGUGGAGUUGGCGGUUUCGAUCGAUGCUAGCCUUUGGUGAAGUUUUCAAAUAUUUUCUUGAAGUGUGCUGAUUGUCAUCAAGCUUUAACUCCGAGUCCUGACACAAAUUCUCAGGUUGUGCUUCAUCCAAUCCCUUCAAGAAAACCUCUAGCUCGAAGAAAUCUUCCAUCGUGAUCUCUUUAUUAAUAUCCCAAUCUUUAAGCUUUUCUCCAUCCUCUAGUUCCAAAAAUUCUUAUAGCUCCAAGAAAUCUUCCAUGGUGAUCUCUUUGGCUACAUCCAAGGCAAGAUAACAACUAGCUUCACAUGAGUUUUCUAAUGUUGAGUCUACAAUGUCCUGAGGACAACUCUAACUAUCAGGGAUUUCAAUAGGUGUCAAUCGGCAACAAGAGUUUUUGUCGAUCGAUGCUAAGAUGGUGUGUCGUUCGUUUCUAAGGUCGUACCAUCGAUCGACGUUGAGGUCGUACCGUCGAUCGACGUUGAGGUCGUACCGUCGAUCGACGUUGAGGUCGUACCGUCGAUCGACGUUGAGGUCGUACCGUUGGUCGACUUUGUCGACGUUGAGGUCGUACCGCUUGUCGAUGUUGAGGUCGUAUCGUUUGCCGACGUUGUGGUCGUAUUGUUGAUCAAUGUUGAUGUCGUAUUGUUGAGGUCGAGUCUUGAGUACCAACUUCCUCUAUUCUGCUCGUUCUCCAGAUCCAUGAUAUCCAUCUCUUUUUGCCAUGUUGGAGUCGUCAAUCUUUUAUCUCAGCAUAGAUUCCAUAUCUAUCUCUAGAUUUGUUGCAGCAUCAUAGAGAAAGUUGUUGAGGAAGGCGUUUGCUAUGUCGUUCCAGACAGUGAGAGAUUCUGGUGGUAGCUUCUUGAAACAAUUAGUUGCAUCUACAGCAAGGGUGUAUGGAAGAGUUUGCAGAAGUGGUGGUCUUCAGGGACUUCAUUGAAGAUAAACGAUACCAAUUCCUCAAACAUGUUAAUAUGAUCCAUUGAUUGUUCAUGAGGAAAACCAUGAAAGGGACGCUGAUACAUAAGAGUAAUGUAGUUAGGUUUUUAGCUCAAAGUCAUCCUCUCAAUAACACUUGGUAUGAGUACCUCGACCAUCUGUGUCUCCCCGGAAGUGGUGUCGUUUUUCACCGGAUGAACAGUGUCUGGAUGAACAGUGUUGGGAUGAACAGGGCAACGAGGUACAGUGUCUUUGUGAACAGCAUCGAUCGAUGCAGGAUGAACAAUGUCGAUCUGCAAAGGAUGAAUAGUAUCGAUCGACGCGGGAUUAACAGUGUCGAGAUGAACAGUACAUCGAUGAACAAUGCUGGGACGAACAGUACCGAGUGAACAGUCUUGUCCGACCCAUGAUGAAUAAUGUCAUUCGAUACUUGGUUCACAUUGUCGAUGCUACUUAGAGGGUGUCGAUCGAUGUUUUCCUCGUCGACUUACGAGUCGUGUGUGAACCAGCAGGCUUCUUCUUUCAAUAAUCCAAAAAUCUUCUCCUCAUUAAUUCCUGGUACACCUUGAAACAGAAGAAAAAAAAUUAUGAGUUUUUCGAACAGAAGAAACUUUUGCUGGUUCAGAGACUUCGCUUUCUUCUUACGCUUACUGCUCCAGAUGAGUCGAGCUGGAAGGAAGGAGUUGAGCUGGCAACUGCCUUACGCUAACUGCUCCGGAUGAACUGAACAUCAUCAUCGUCUCCCCCACCAGAGAGGGUAGCUUUAGGAGCUGCCAUCGCUUCUUCUCCUAUGGUUCCCGACAUGCUACCUAAAGAGCAGUCCAAUCACAUAUCAAAAACUGUUUGGAAUAAGAAAGAAAGAGCCAGAAACUUACCCCAAUUACUGCAGCUUUCCAAGACUUCUUUGCUCACAAGGAAGGGAAUUUGACGACGCUCAACCGGAAUCCCCAAGACUUUUUCAAUCGUUUUCUUUCCCACAGUCAAACAAGAUACGUCUGCCAAAACAAAGAAAAAGCAUGCUCAGAAUCAUAUCAAAAGGAGUUUAAAAAACCACGACUCCUAAAACCUACCAGCUAAGUGCCAAAUAGAUGAGAACCCGGGGAGAGUCAUAAAAGCGAACUUCUUAGCCCAUCCAUUCUCAAAAACCGGGUGGUGCCUCCGAUCCUUCUUUGGGAUUUCAAAGAUAGGAGGAAGACGACAGCGAGGAUGAAGGUGGAAUCUGCCUUCUCCGCCAUGCAUUGGAGCAAUGAAGUAGGAAUAUAAAACUUCCUCGAUUCCUAAGACUAAACCCUCAAGCUCACUGAGAUUUUGAAGGGUUAUUAAAGAUCUCCAAAUCGGAGGAUUGAGCUGGCCUGGAGAGAUGUCAAACCAUUCAGAUAUCUUCGCUAUCAGCGACGGAACUCAAUCUCUGAAGCCCGAUUCGAGGAAACCCUCAUAUACAGGGACCUCGUCUAUUUCGAAGUCCAUAGCCCUAUUAAAAGGUCCGGGAACACAAAUGGAGAGGCAGUUAGGAAUUUUGGGGGGUGACUGGUUGGGCUGUAGGAAAUGACUUUAACUUUAAUUUUCAUCUACAACUUUAAAUACUACCAAUCAUGCUUUAUCUUAGUUUUUAAAGCUACAACCAAAAAACUAAAGCUACAGAAAAAACACACAAAAAAUAGUUAUAAAAAUUUUAUUUUCUAAAACUCCAUCUUUUUAACUGUAGAAAAUUUUAAAGGUACAUCCCUUAAAGCUAAAUCAAAAAAUUCUACAACCUAAAUUCUAAAGUUAAUUUUCUACAGUUAUACCCCAACCAAUCACCCCCUUUGUAUUUCUCUCUCCACCCCUCGCCUUCAUCUACUCCUAUCAUCGAGACAUGUCCAAUCGGUAAAGGCUCAUUCUCCUCCUCUACGACUGGUUGAGGGCUCCCCGUCUCUAUGGCCAUGAUAGGAUUUGAAAUCUCCACUUCCACCGUCAGAUCUAAGGAGAGGGAAGAAAAAUCUACGGAUCCAAGAGGCUCGCUUUCGCUUUUGUUUUUCGAUUUCACUCUACUACUUAUGGUGGACGGAUCUACAGAGGGGCUAGGUAUAUUCUUCAUCCUAAGACUCGAAGGACAGAACAAAGACUAAGAGGAGAAUUCGGAAGAACGUGGCUUAAAACCCUAGAAAAAACGAAGAAAGGAAGACGAUUACCUGCUUAAAAUAAAUGAACGGGUUCGAGAUUGGGAUGUGGCGAACUAGGAUCAGAAGAUCUUCGAGAAUUAAGGAAAGAAGUAAGAAGAUUUGGAGAGAUGAGAAGAGGAAGGGAAAGUGAAAACCCUAAAGAGAUUUCACGCGCCUCGGGUAAAUCAUCAUGCGAGGGAAUGAAUUCCAACGCAGUCUCUUUCCUUUGUCGGGUGAAGACUUCAUGGAAAAUGAAACGUCUCUUAAAAAUAGAAAACCCUGACUCCUUCUCCAGGCUCCUACAUUAGGCCCAAGGAUCCAAUCAUCCAAAUAGAAGACAUGCAAGGAAGUCCUUGCCAGCGGAUCUUCUAUUACAUCAAGAAGUGCGAUUAACGAUCCGAUCCUGACCAAGUCUCAUCAUCAAAAAGAACACAAGGUUUCGGGUUAUGAGCCCUGUGCAUUAAACAUGUCAUCCGAAGAAAUGCAAGAUCAAGGUCCAGAACCCUGCGAAGUCAUCUUCCAAUAGUUCCAACACCUUCUAGGACCCGGCCUACCUAGGGGAACCCGACUUUCUUCCAGGUUCCAAAACGGUCCAGGCCUAAAACGGAACCUGGAAAAAGAACUAUUGGAGCAAUGUCCUGCCUAAAGAAAGCCUACUGAGAUAGGGUAGCUCCGGCUACUCAAGUGUACAAGUUAUCCCCCGAAUUCAACGACGAACUCGAGGAAUAUGAGACAAACUAUUGGAGAAAAAUACUCCGGUAUGAUUAUUCUCCAGGCCUCGGGCAGGACGCUGGCCUCCAGGUUCCUG